rnacentral:rRNA from 2 species
UUAAGCAUAUCAAUAAGCGCAGGAAAAGAAACCAACAGGGAUUGCCUCAGUAACGGCGAGUGAAGCGGCAACAGCUCAAAUUUGAAAUCUGGCCUCUUGGGGUCCGAGUUGUAAUUUGUAGAGGAUGUUUUGGGUACCGCCCCGGUCUAAAUUUCUUGGAACAGAAUGUCAAAGAGGGUGAGAAUCCCGUCUUGGAUCGGCGGUAGGGCCUGUGUAAAACUCCUUCGACGAGUCGAGUUGUUUGGGAAUGCAGCUCAAAAUGGGUGGUAAAUUUCAUCUAAAGCUAAAUAUUGGCCAGAGACCGAUAGCGCACAAGUAGAGUGAUCGAAAGAUGAAAAGCACUUUGAAAAGAGAGUUAAACAGUAUGUGAAAUUGUUGAAAGGGAAGCGCUGGCAACCAGACUUGAGCGCGACGGUUCCCCCUGCCUUUUGGUUGGGCUACUCCGUCGUGUCCAGGCCAACAUCGGUUCUGAGGGUCGGUCAAAGGCUCUGGGAAUGUACCUACCCCCGGGUAGACUUAUAGACCAGGGUGUCAUGCGACCUCUCGGGACCGAGGAACGCGCUUCGGCUCGGAUGUUGGCGUAAUGGUUGUCAGCGACCCGUCUUGAAACACGGACCAAGGAGUCUAACAUCUAUGCGAGUGUUUGGGUGUCAAACCCGGAACGCGGAAUGAAAGUGAACGGAGGUAGGAAGCUUCGGCUGCACUAUCGACCGAUCCUGAAGUUUACGGAUGGAUUUGAGUAAGAGCAUAGCUGUUGGGACCCGAAAGAUGGUGAACUAUGCCUGAAUAGGGUGAAGCCAGAGGAAACUCUGGUGGAGGCUCGCAGCGGUUCUGACGUGCAAAUCGAUCGUCAAAUUUGGGUAUAGGGGCGAAAGACUAAUCGAACCAUCUGGUAGCUGGUUCCUGCCGAAGUUUCCCUCAGGAUAGCAGUAACGUUUUCAGUUUUAUGAGGUAAAGCGAAUGAUUAGAGGCCUUGGGGUUGAAACAACCUUAACCUAUUCUCAAACUUUAAAUAUGUAAGAAGUCCUUGUUACUUAAUUGAACGUGGACAUUUGAAUGUACCGUUACUAGUGGGCCAUUUUUGGUAAGCAGAACUGGCGAUGCGGGAUGAACCGAACGUGAGGUUAAGGUGCCGGAAUGCACGCUCAUCAGACACCACAAAAGGUGUCAAUGCAUCUAGACAGCCGGACGGUGGCCAUGGAAGUCGGAAUCCGCUUAGGAGUGUGUAACAACUCACCGGCCGAAUGCAUUGGCCCUGAAAAUGGAUGGCGCUUAAGCGUGCUACCUAUACCUCGCCGUUAGGGUUGACAUGAUGCCCUAACGAGUAGGCAGGCGUGGAGGUCCGUGACGAAGCCUUGGGGGUGACCCCGGGUCGAACGGCCUCUAG